UACGGGGGGAGCAAGCGUUGUUCGGAUUUACUGGGCGUAAAGGGCGCGUAGGCGGCCACUGCAAGUCGGUUGUGAAAUCUCCGGGCUUAACCCGGAAAGGUCAACCGAUACUGCAGGGCUAGAGUGCAGAAGGGGCAACUGGAAUUCUCGGUGUAGCGGUGAAAUGCGUAGAUAUCGAGAGGAACCCCUGCGGCGGAGGCGGGUUGCUGGGCUGAUACUGACGCUGAGGCGCGAAAGCUAGGGGAGCGAACGGG
rnacentral:rRNA from 1 species